rnacentral:tRNA from 1 species
GGGGAUAUGGCUUAAUGGUAAAGUACUUGCCUAGCAUGCAUGAGGUUAUAGAUUCAACUAUUAGCAUUG